rnacentral:rRNA from 1 species
AUUGAACGCUGGCGGCAGGCCUAACACAUGCCAGUCGAGCGGAUGAAGGGAGCUUGCUCCUGGAUUCAGCGGCGGACGGGUGAGUAAUGCCUAGGAAUCUGCCUGGUAGUGGGGGAUAACGUCCGGAAACGGGCGCUAAUACCGCAUACGUCCUGAGGGAGAAAGUGGGGGAUCUUCGGACCUCACGCUAUCAGAUGAGCCUAGGUCGGAUUAGCUAGUUGGUGGGGUAAAGGCCUACCAAGGCGACGAUCCGUAACUGGUCUGAGAGGAUGAUCAGUCACACUGGAAGUGAGACACGGUCCAGACUCCUACGGGAGGCAGCAGUGGGGAAUAUUGGACAAUGGGCGAAAGCCUGACCCAGCCAUGCCGAGUGUGUGAAGAAGGUCUUCGGAUUGUAAAGCACUUUAAGUUGGGAGGAAGGGCAGUAAGUUAAUACCUUGCUGUUUUGACGUUACCAACAGAAUAAGCACCGGCUAACUUCGUG